CUGAACCUGGGUCCUCUGAAGGAGCAGGAAGUGGUCUUAACUACAGAGGCAUCUCUCCACCCCCUGAGCAGAGCCCUUUUUUAUUUCAGUUAUUACACAAUCAUAUGAGUGAAAGAUGAAAAGAAUCUGACUGAGUGCAUAGCAGCACAACCGGAGAUGCUCCACGGCUCCUCUGAAAGAGGAGCGAUAGAUCAGAGCGCGACAGAGCCGGCGGAAGAAUACGAAACCAGUUACAUGAACUGUGAACUAUAUGUCAGUGUUCUAUUUGCCUUGAGACAGGGUGAACAUCAGCACAUUUCUCAUCAAGAC
rnacentral:lncRNA from 1 species